UUUAUCAUCACACCGCCGGGUGAGUGAAGAAAACUAGCAUAUCAAUAAGCGGAGGAAAAGAAACCCAACAGGGAUUGCUUUAGUAACUGCGAGUGAAGCGGCAAAAGCUCAAAUUUGAAAUCUGACGUCUUUGACGUUCGAGUUGUAAUUUGGAGGGAUAUCUUCGGAGCUGGGGCCGUUCUAAGUUCUUUGGAACCGGACAUCAUAGAGGGUGAGAAUCCCGUGCCUGGAUGGCUGUCCUGCUCCAUGUGAAGUGUCUCCAACGAGUCGAGUUGUUUGGGAAUGCAGCUCAAAAUGGGUGGUAAAUUUCAUCUAAAGCUAAAUAUUGGCGAGAGACCGAUAGCGCACAAGUAGAGUGAUCGAAAGAUGAAAAGCACUUUGAAAAGAGAGUUAAACAGUACGUGAAAUUGUUGAAAGGGAAGCGCUUGAGACUAGAUUCAGCUGGCGGCGAUCAACCGUGCUUUUGUUCGGUGCACUUGCCGUCGGUUGAGCCAGCAUCGGUUCUGAUGGUGGGAAAAAGAUUUGAGGAAUGUGGCUCCGCGCUAUUGUGGAGUGUUAUAGCCUUGAGUGAAAUGCCACCGGUUGGGACCGAGGACCGCGCUUUUGCUAGGAUGCUGGCUAAAAGGUCUUAAGCGGCCCGUCUUGAAACACGGACCAAGGAGUCUAACAUCUAUGCGAGUGUUCGGGUGAAAAACCCUUGCGCGUAAUGAAAGUGAACGGAGGUGGGAACCUCUUUGGGGUGCACCAUCGACCGAUCCUGAAGUUUACAGAAGGAUUUGAGUAGGAGCAUAGCUGUUGGGACCCGAAAGAUGGUGAACUAUGCCUGAAUAGGGUGAAGCCAGAGGAAACUCUGGUGGAGGCUCGCAGCGGUUCUGACGUGCAAAUCGAUCGUCAAAUUUGGGUAUAGGGGGCGAAAGACUAAUCGAAACCAUCUAGUAGCUGGGUUCCUGCCGAAUUUCCCCUCUCAGGAUCCAGUAACGCUAAUCAUCACGUAUCUAAGUAUUGCGCUGACUUCGUAAAGCUGUAUUUGACCCAGCGCUCUACUAGUAUG
rnacentral:rRNA from 1 species